rnacentral:rRNA from 2 species
AAUCUUACCGGGUCCGGACAUACCGAGGAUUGACAGACUGUUAACUGCAACACAUGCUGCUAAGUUUUAAACUUAAUAGCUCUUUCAUGAUUAUAUGAUAGGUGGUGCAUGGCCGUUCUUAGUUCGUGGAGUGAUCUGUCUGCUUAAUUGCGUUUCAAAAUUUAAACCUGAGCGACAAGGUGCUACUAUCGAAACUGUCUUUGAGUGUGAACUAUAAGUCUUUUGACUUAUGACCAUCACUCUAGACGUUUAUGUUUUGGUGUUGGCCCUUGAUGCUCAUUUGAACGCAACGGACGUGAUUGCAACCCCUUGUUGAGAUUUAUCCGAUCUCUACGUUCACUGAACCACACUCUUUAGCGAGAGCAGUGGGGAUGUGGAUAAACUCGGGGGACUGCUGACUAUAAACUUUUCUCAAACCAGAGGAAGGUUGCGGCAAUAACAGGUCUGUGAUGCCCUCAGAUGU